UAAUUCCACUUUUAUUAAUAGUUUUUUUUGUUUUUUACAACUUCUAAUUGCUAAAAAGUAUUUAACCGAAGUGAUCAAACAAUUUUGUAUUUAUUACAUGUAAAGGAAGAAAAAUGUCUUCAGUGUUGUAUUUUUUUUAUGCUUUGAGUAUAUUUCUUUCUCUUUUUCUCAUUGUAGCCGACCACGGUAACAAAAAUUCACACCAUUUUCAAAUUUCUAAUUCAUUUUAUAUUUAUACACAAUAUUUAAUCAACACUUGGUAAACUUUCAUUUGUUUUUAUUUGAUAUUUCAGGUUCCAUUACUUGCAAUGAUCAUUCUUCUUGUACAAAAUUUCCGUGCAUUUAUCCGGAAAUUCCAAAGUGUGUUACUAAUAUAUGUAAGUGCGUCAUAAUAUUAUAGAGAAGUGCUAAAUAUUAUGAGAGAUUUCAUAAAGAAUUGCAACAAAUCAACAUAGCUUGUUCUUUUAAAAAGGAACAUUUUUUUUUUGAAGACAAAAAGGAACAUAUUGUAACUCAAUUUCAUGGGUAGGUUGGGGUUGAAGUGAAUGUAAGGUGCAAGAGAAGACUUGUGGACUUAGAGAAUAAUGAAACUAAUAAGUCUUAUUUAAUUGUAUGUCCAUAAUUUGAUUAAGUGUUCCAUUUACUUUAUUGUCAUAAUUUAUUUUAAAGUCAUCAAAAGCACAUCAAGAGCACAACCCAACAAACGUGACUCAGGGUUCAAA
rnacentral:lncRNA from 1 species